rnacentral:ncRNA from 1 species
CUUGAGAGAACCAUGUCGAAGGAACUUGGCAAAAUGACCCCGUAACUUUGGGAGACGGGGUGCUCUCCUAUCUUUUGGUUAGGAAAGCAGCACAUACCAGGGGGUAGCGACUGUUUAUUAAAAACACAGGACUCUGCUAAGUGGUAACACRAUGUAUAGAGUCUGACACCUGCCCGGUGCUGGAAGGUCGAAAGGAGAAGUAUUAUAAGCUUUGAAUGGAAGCCCCGAUAAACGGUGGCAGUAACUCUAACUAUCCUAAGGUAGCGAAAUUCCUUGUYGCAUAAGUAGCGACCUGCACGAUGUUAGACAGUUUUGUAUGCCCUUAGCUUCA